AGCACCUCUCCCUUCACUCUCUUUCUCCUGUUUGGCCGUGUACCAAGUUCCUGCCUGUCUUCUGUCUUCACCCGUGACUUGCCUCAAGUAGUUGGCUCCUUUCCCACCGGCUACUUUGUAACUGCGAAUAUGACAACAUGACGGUGAUUCACAGAUGCCAAAAUAUGACGAGCAGAGCAAAUCUGUGUUCCAGAUAUGAUAAGGGUGACAUGAAGGAAGAAAAAGAACCUAUUAUCAUGUAAAAACCAUACUAUGGAAAGCGAUUUCAUAAAAAGUGGAAUUCUGUAAUAUAAUGCUACUUAUUCACCACAUUCUAUUGAUAAAGGCUUGGUCCCUACCUCACGGUAUCUCUUCCUCCCUGCCAAUAUGGCAUCCAGAGCAAUGAUAGGACAGAAACAUGUUCAUUUCAACAUUCACCCACACACACUUUACCAUUUCUGACAACAUGCCUUGAUUCUUUGAAUGCUUACUAUAUUCCAAGC
rnacentral:lncRNA from 1 species